GGGGUGUGUCUAUGCGGAGGCGAGAUGACCGGCAGGAACCUGCCCCAAUGGGCUGCAGGGUGGUUAGUGUGUGGGUGACGGACAGACCCGCAGGCCAACGGGUGGCCAUAAGUGUCUGUGGUCUCCUCCAAUGGAGCAGCGCCGGGGCGGGGCCGCGGCUCGGGUUUAAUGAGACUCCAUUGGGCUGUAAUCAGUGUCAUGUCGGAUUCAUGUCAACGACAACAACAGGGGGACACAAAAUGGCGGCGGCUUAGCUCCUACCCCUGGCGGCGGAGGCAACGGUGGCGGAGGCGACGGCACCUCCUCCAGGCGGCAGCCGCGGCUUCUUUCUCAGGCAGCGGCAGCGCCCCCGGCAGGCGCGGUGACGGUGGCGCGCGGCCAGAUUUGCUUGAAGAUCUGGACAAUCUUCUUUUUUGUCAUGGACUGUUAAAACAUUUGGAGUUCCAAUUCUGGUCUUGAUUUCCUUGUUAAAGAUGUUCUUCACCCGAAUGCAGUCUCUCCCGUUGGUCAAAUAAGACAACUAUCAACAUUGCCUGUGUGUCCUGUUUUUAAUCUCUUAAGGAUGGAUGUUUGUGAGGUUUUGUUUAAUACGGUCUGGAAUAUUUUGCCCAUUUGUUGAAUUGUAAAUGACUUUUAAAUGUUCAAGUUCUGUUAAAUACAAGGAGAACCUCUAUGGGUAACUUUGGUAUUGAAGAAGUCAUUUGUCAACCAUGGUAAAACUUGCAAACCCACUUUAUACAGAGUGGAUUCUUGAAGCUAUACAGAAAAUAAAAAAGCAAAAGCAAAGGCCCUCUGAAGAGAGAAUCUGCCAUGCAGUCAGCACUUCCCAUGGGUUGGAUAAGAAGACAGUCUCUGAACAGCUGGAACUCAGUGUUCAGGAUGGCUCAGUUCUUAAAGUCACCAACAAAGGCCUUGCCUCCUAUAAGGACCCAGACAACCCUGGGCGCUUUUCAUCAGUUAAACCAGGCACUUUUCCUAAGUCAACCAAGGGGUCUAGGGGAUCAUGUAAUGAUCUCCGCAAUGUGGAUUGGAAUAAACUUUUAAGGAGAGCAAUUGAAGGACUCGAGGAGCCAAAUGGCUCCUCCCUGAAGAACAUCGAGAAGUAUCUCAGAAGUCAAAGUGAUCUCAUAAGCACCACCAACAACCCAGCCUUUCAGCAGCGGCUGCGACUAGGGGCCAAACGUGCAGUGAACAAUGGGAGGUUACUGAAAGAUGGACCGCAGUACAGGGUCAAUUAUGGAAGCUUAGACUGCAAAGGGGCUCCCAAGUAUCCCAGUGCUUUCCCGUCCUCGCUACCACCUGUCAGCCUUCUACCCCAUGAGAAAGAUCAGCCCCGUGCCGAUCCCAUUCCGAUAUGUAGCUUCUGUUUGGGGACUAAAGAAUCAAAUCGUGAAAAGAAACCAGAAGAACUCCUCUCUUGUGCAGAUUGUGGCAGUAGUGGACACCCAUCCUGUUUGAAAUUUUGUCCUGAAUUAACAACAAAUGUAAAGGCCUUAAGGUGGCAGUGCAUCGAGUGCAAGACAUGCAGUGCAUGUAGAAUCCAAGGCAAAAAUGCAGAUAAUAUGCUUUUUUGUGACUCCUGUGAUAGAGGAUUCCAUAUGGAGUGCUGUGACCCCCCACUUUCCAGAAUGCCAAAAGGGAUGUGGAUUUGCCAAGUCUGCAGACCAAAGAAAAAGGGAAGAAAACUACUUCAUGAGAAAGCUGCACAAAUAAAACGACGAUAUGCAAAACCCAUUGGACGACCGAAAAAUAAAUUAAAGCAACGAUUGUUGUCUGUAACCAGUGAUGAAGGAUCCAUGAAUGCAUUCACAGGAAGGGGGUCACCUGGUAGGGGUCAAAAGACUAAAGUCUGUACCACACCUUCAUCUGGUCAUGCUGCAUCUGGGAAGGACUCAAGCAGCAGAUUGGCUGUUACAGACCUCACUCGGCCUGGUGCCACCACCAAAAUCACCACCACCUCCACCUACAUUUCUGCCUCUACACUUAAAGUUAACAAGAAAACCAAAGGGCUCAUUGAUGGCCUUACUAAGUUUUUUACACCAUCACCUGAUGGUCGCAGAUCACGAGGUGAAAUAAUAGACUUUUCAAAGCACUACCGUCCAAGGAAAAAGGUCUCUCAGAAACAGUCAUGCACUUCUCAUGUGUUGGCUACAGGUACCACACAAAAGCUAAAACCUCCACCUUCUUCACUUCCACCCCCAACCCCCAUCUCCGGUCAGAGCCCCAGUUCACAAAAGUCCAGCACUUCCGCCUCUUCUACCUCUCCCCAGAGUUCUUCCAGCCAGUCCAGUGUGCCCUCCUUUAGCAGUCUUACUAAUAACAGCCAGCUGAAGGCACUCUUUGAUGGACUUUCUCAUAUCUAUACCACUCAGGGACAGUCUCGAAAAAAGGGACACCCAAGUUAUGCACCACCCAAACGUAUGCGUCGUAAAUCUGAAUUAUCUUCCACGGCAAAAUCUAAAGCCCAUUUCUUUGGAAAACGAGAUAUUAGAAGUAGGUUUCUUGCUCACUCCUCCUCCUCUAGCUGGGGGAUGGCUAGAGGACGUAUUUUUAAAGCAAUUGCUCACUUCAAGCGAACAACUUUCCUUAAAAAGCACAGGAUGCUAGGCAGAUUAAAAUAUAAAGUGACCCCUCAGAUGGGGACCCCCUCACCAGGGAAGGGGAGCUUGACAGACGGAAGGAUUAAACCUGAUCAGGAUGAUGAUACUGAAAUCAAAAUAAGCAUCAAACAAGAAAGUACAGAUAUAAAUGUGCUUGGAAACAAGGAUACCGUUACUGAAGAGGACUUGGAUGUUUUUAAGCAGGCCCAGGAACUUUCUUGGGAGAAAAUAGAGUGUGAAAGUGGGGUGGAAGACUGUGGCCGGUACCCUUCUGUAAUAGAAUUCGGGAAAUAUGAAAUCCAAACCUGGUACUCCUCGCCUUACCCACAGGAAUAUGCAAGAUUACCAAAGCUUUACCUGUGUGAAUUCUGUCUUAAAUAUAUGAAAAGUAAAAAUAUUUUGUUAAGACACUCAAAGAAAUGUGGAUGGUUUCAUCCUCCAGCAAAUGAAAUUUACCGAAGGAAAGACCUUUCAGUAUUUGAGGUUGAUGGGAAUAUGAGCAAAAUUUAUUGCCAAAACCUUUGCUUGUUAGCCAAGCUCUUCCUGGACCACAAAACGUUGUAUUAUGAUGUCGAGCCAUUCCUUUUUUAUGUCCUUACAAAAAAUGAUGAAAAGGGCUGUCAUCUGGUUGGAUACUUCUCUAAGGAAAAGCUUUGCCAGCAGAAGUAUAAUGUCUCCUGCAUAAUGAUCAUGCCCCAGCACCAAAGGCAAGGAUUUGGACGGUUUCUCAUUGAUUUCAGCUAUUUGCUUUCUAGAAGAGAAGGCCAAGCAGGGUCUCCUGAAAAGCCACUCUCCGAUCUGGGCCGUCUCUCCUACCUGGCCUAUUGGAAGAGUGUCAUCUUAGAAUAUCUCUACUACCACCAGGAGAGGCACAUCAGCAUCAAGGCGAUCAGCAGAGCUACAGGCAUGUGCCCACAUGACAUCGCCACCACUCUGCAGCACCUCCAUAUGAUUGACAAGAGGGAUGGCAGAUUUGUCAUCAUUAGAAGGGAAAAGUUGAUACUGGGCCACAUGGAAAAGCUGAAAACCUGUUCCCGGACCAAUGAACUUGAUCCAGAGAGUCUAAGAUGGACCCCAAUUUUAAUUUCUAAUGCUGCAGUUUCUGAAGAAGAGCGAGAAGCUGAGAAAGAGGCCGAGCGGCUAAUGGAACAAGCUAGCUGCUGGGAAAAGGAGGAGCAAGAAAUCCUGUCCUCUAGAGCGAACAGUAGGCAAUCACCUGCAAAAGUACAAUCGAAAAAUAAAUAUUUGCAUUCCCCGGAGAGCCGGCCAGUGGCAGGGGAGCGAGGGCAGCUUAUGGAGCUGUCUAAAGAGAGCAGUGAAGAGGAGGAGGAGGAGGAAGAGGAGGAGGAGGAGGAGGAAGAGGAGGAGGAGGAAGAGGAAGAGGAGGAGGAGGAAGAGGAGGAGGAAGAAGAGGAAGAGGAGGAAGAGGAGGAGGAAGAAGAAAAUAUUCAGAGUUCUCCUCCAAGAUUGACUAAACCACAAUCAGUUGCUAUAAAGAGAAAGCGGCCUUUUGUACUAAAGAAAAAAAGGGGUCGUAAACGCAGGAGGAUCAACAGCAGUGUAACAACUGAGACCAUUUCUGAGACGACAGAAGUACUGAAUGAGCCCUUUGACAACUCAGAUGAAGAGAGGCCAAUGCCGCACCUGGAGCCUACCUGUGAGAUUGAAGUGGAGGAAGAUGGAGGGAAGCCAGUCCUGAGAAAAGCAUUCCAACAUCAGCCUGGGAAGAAAAGAAAAACAGAGGAAGAGGAAGAAAAAGACAAUCAUUGUUUUAAGAAUGCUGACCCUUGUAGAAACAAUAUGGAUGAUGAUACAGAUAACUUGAAAGAAGGCAGUAGAGACAAUCUUGAACCUCUAAAGUGCAAACAAGUGUGGCCAAAAGGAACAAAACGUAGUCUAUCUAAGUGGAGGCCAAACAAAGAGAGGAAGACCGGAUUUAAACUGAACUUGUACACCCCGCCAGAAACACCCAUGGAACCUGAUGACCAGAUAACAGUAGAAGAACAGAAGGAGACUCCAGAAGGCAAAACCAGCCCUACUCCCACCAGGAUUGAGGAGGAAGUCAAGGAAGCUGUGGAACCCCUGCUGCCUCGGGAUGAAAACACAAGGGAUGAAACAUGUGCACCGAUAAGUCCAAAUAAAUCACCAGGUGAAAAACCAGAAGAUGAUCUAAUCAAACCCGAGGAGGAAGAAGAGGAGGAGGAAGAAGAGGAAGAGGAGGAAGAAGAAGAAAAUGUAGAAAAAGACCCAGGUGGUGCUAAAAAUCAGGAAAAAGAGGAACCAGAAGUCUUCACGGACAAAGAAGACCCUGUUCCUCUGGAUGAUCAUGAAGAGGAGGAGGAAGAGGAUGAAGAGCCAUCUCACAAUGAGGGUCAUGAUGCAGAUGAUGAAGAUGACAGUCACAUGGAGUGUGGAGAAGCAGAGAAGGAAGAACGCCCAAGAGAAUCCUUUAAAGAAGUACUAGAAAACCAGGAGGCUUUUUUAGACCUUAGUGUCCAGCCUAGUCAUUCGAACUCAGAGGUCCUAAUGGAGUGUGGCGUUGACCUUGCAGCUGCGUGUAACAGUGAACCUAAGGAGCUUUCUGGAGACACUGAAGCUGCACCUGAAUCUGAUGAGGAAUCCCCAGAAGAACAGGCACAGAAGCAGGACCAAAAGAGUGGCGAAGAAGUGGAUUCUGAGUUCAAAGAGAGAAACACGACGGCCAUGGAAAUUGACUCUGAGACCGUUCAGGCAGUUCAAUCUUUGACCCAGGAGAAUAGUGAACAGGACGACACUUUUCAGGAUUGUGCUGAGACUCAAGAGGCCUGCAGAAGCCUACAAAACUACACCCAUGCAGACCAAAGCCCACAGAUAGCCGCCACUCUAGAUGAUUGCCAGCAGUCAGACCACAGUAGCCCAGUUUCAUCCGUCCAUUCCCAUCCUGGCCAGUCAGUACGUUCUGUCAACAGCCCAAGUGUCCCUGCCCUGGAAAAUAGCUAUGCCCAAAUCAGCCCGGAUCAAAGUGCCAUCUCCGUGCCGUCUUUGCAAAACAUGGAAACCAGUCCAAUGAUGGAUGUCCCGUCAGUUUCAGAUCAUUCCCAGCAAGUCGUGGACAGUGGAUUUAGUGACCUGGGCAGUAUCGAGAGCACAACCGAGAACUACGAGAACCCUAGUAGCUAUGAUUCUACUAUGGGCGGCAGCAUUUGCGGAAACGGCUCUUCACAGAACAGCUGCUCCUAUAGCAACCUCACCUCUAGCAAUCUGACACAGAGCAGCUGUGCUGUCACCCAGCAGAUGUCCAACAUCAGUGGGAGCUGCAGCAUGCUGCAGCAAACCAGCAUCAGUUCUCCCCCAACCUGCAGCGUCAAGUCUCCUCAAGGCUGUGUGGUGGAGAGGCCUCCGAGCAGCAGCCAGCAGCUGGCUCAGUGUAGCAUGGCCGCUAACUUCACCCCACCAAUGCAGCUGGCCGACAUCCCUGAGACUGGCAACGCCAACAUUGGCUUAUAUGAACGAAUGGGUCAGAGUGAUUUUGGGGCUGGGCAUUACCCACAGCCAUCAGCCACCUUCAGCCUUGCCAAACUACAGCAGUUAACUAAUACACUUAUUGAUCAUUCAUUGCCUUACAGCCAUUCCGCUGCUGUAACUUCCUAUGCAAACAGUGCCUCUUUGUCCACACCAUUAAGUAACACAGGGCUUGUCCAGCUUUCUCAGUCUCCGCACUCUGUCCCUGGGGGACCCCAAGCACAAGCUACAAUGACCCCACCCCCCAACCUGACUCCUCCUCCGAUGAAUCUGCCACCGCCUCUUUUGCAACGGAACAUGGCUGCAUCAAACAUUGGCAUCUCUCACAGCCAAAGACUGCAAACCCAGAUUGCCAGCAAGGGCCACGUCUCCAUGAGAACCAAAUCGGCAUCUCUGUCACCAGCCGCUGCCACCCAUCAGUCUCAGAUCUAUGGGCGCUCCCAGACUGUAGCCAUGCAGGGUCCUGCACGGACUUUAACGAUGCAGAGAGGUAUGAACAUGAGUGUGAACCUGAUGCCAGCCCCAGCCUACAAUGUCAACUCUGUGAACAUGAACAUGAAUACUCUCAAUGCCAUGAAUGGGUACAGCAUGUCCCAGCCGAUGAUGAACAGCGGCUACCACAGCAAUCAUGGCUACAUGAAUCAAACACCCCAAUACCCUAUGCAGAUGCAGAUGGGCAUGAUGGGAACCCAGCCAUAUGCCCAGCAGCCAAUGCAGACCCCGCCCCAUGGUAACAUGAUGUACACGGCCCCCGGACAUCACGGCUACAUGAACACGGGCAUGUCCAAACAGUCUCUCAAUGGGUCCUACAUGAGAAGGUAGGCAACAUGGGCAGUCACAAGAUCCCCCUGGGCAUCACUAUUGGAUUGAAUCUGCACAAAUACCUUCGAAGAGUACGAUUUCAAAACCAGCAAUUGGUGUGAAUGCAAAAACAUUUGUUGGCACCAUUUAUUUAAAAAAAAAAAAAAAAAAGCUGUAUGCAGCAGAAAGCCUUAUACAAGUUGUUUUUCUUUUUUUCCUUUUUCUUUUUUUGGUAUCUUUGUUUCUGUUACUUUUAUAUGAAAUUCUCUGCAAAGGAAGGCCUCUCUGGACUACAAUUUGAAGGCAGCCACUUGUUGUGCCUGCUUCCAUGAAAUGAUGUGGAUAUCAAGCCCCGCCCCACCAAAUUAUCUGUUUUAAUACUGAACCUAGAACUUUUUUUUUUCUUCCCUGUCCACUCCAUGUAAAUGCCUUUAGCAUUUCAGUUAUUGUAUAUUUUGUUUAAGGUGACACUUCAGCAUGCCGCUAAUGUCUUUGUUAGUGACAGUGCAUUUUGUAGUACUGUACAAGUGUUGUGCUAACAGUAAGCCAUUUCUUAAGUUUUUUGCCUUGAUUAGGGUGCCCUAAUUUGAGGGUUUAAAAAAAAUUAUAUUUUUGUUAAUUAUAAAACUGUAAAGAGCUAUAAAAGCUAUUCCCAUUUGGUUAGUCAAAAGGGGUUUUAUUGCUAAAUGUUUGGUGUAAAGUUGAGACCCUUUUCCAUUUUGGUGACAGAUUUCUUUGGGGAAAAAAGGCAGCUUUCUGUUUUAUAAAUGCAGACUUCUGUUUAUUGAAUGAAGCAUAUCUCAGUGUUUAUCUGUCAGGUUUUGAAACAUUUCAUAUAUGUCCAAAUACUUGGCAGGAUUUAAAAAAAAAUAGUGAAUUUGGUGUAAAGUUGCUAUUUUAUGGAAAUGCCUCUAACUUUACAUUUUCAUUCCAUCUGUAGAUUUUUCUAUCUUUAUAAAAUAUUGGAGUUAUUUUUUAAGGAAAAAUAGAGAAGUAGCUUGUGAAUAGCUCAAACUAAGCUUACAAAUCGCAUGUAAAAAAGCAAAAAAAAGUUAUUUGUGUCUGUUUAUAUUGCUUCCUUUUUUGUAGCCUUUGUACCUGUACAGGGUGACUGUAAGGGCCAAGCAGGAGAGGCGUAAUCCUUGUAUAAAAUAGGAGCCAGCGACACUCUUGUAUUUAUCUGUUCUCUUUUUAGUCAGUCACUUCAAAAAAAAGAAGAAAAAAAAACAAACAAAAAAAAAGCUGUACAUUUUAACAUAAAAUAAAUUAUGAUGAGCCAUUUUUAGCCUCUUGUGUCCUGUCAUAUUAUGAUUGAUAGAGAAUGACCAAUGGAACUGUAUCAUGUGUCACAUCUCAGAACACAUACACAUUUUGGGAAAAUAAAUUAUUUAGUGUAAAUUGGAGUUAUGAGAUUUUCUGAUUUGUUUUGACUUUGGGGGAGGGGGUUGGCAAUAAAUAAGAGUAAUAUCUAAUAAAACCAUCACAUAUACCAAAUACCUAUUUAAUAAAUUAAUUUAUAAUGGAUUUUAAUGCUUUUCAUGAAAGUUUAUUUUAUGCUGGUGCAUACCUUCUGUAUGCCAAUCAUUGUCUUUAAAAUAAAGUGAAUUUGUUUUUUUCUUUUUGACUUUGAUCUUCAUUUGCAAAGGGAUCCUAUACAAAUAUUCAGUUGCCUCAUCUGUACCGUCUGUGUAAACACCCCUCAGGGCCUUAGCACAGUGGUAGCAAACUUCAUUUUUAUAAAAGUUAAUACCCAAACACCCAAUUUGGGAUUGUACGUUUGAAAAAUCAUCUCAAAAAAAAAAAAAAAAGGUGUGAAAGUUUUGCUCUUGUGAAUGAAUGAUUGGAUGUUUUCUUUAGAGUCUAAAGUUUAGACCAAAAACAAAAAGUCAUUGUUUACAAACACUAUUCUAUGGCAUUCAGAGAAACUUCUGUCUGACUGUUAAAACAGUUUAUUAUUUGAGCUUCUGGCCUAGAAAUAAAUGCCUCAAUUGGCAUCCAUGGGAACUGGCCCAUUAAGCUCCCAAUGUGUCUAAAUGUGGGUGCUCACGACUCUCCCAUCCCUUCUUUUAUAUCGCGCAGAGGGAGAACGUGUUUCCAUCAGUGGUUCAACACAAAUCAAGUGUUGUAUAGACAUAGACACAAACUUUCAAGUAGACUCAGAAUAAAACCGAAAAGGCAGGCUAGUGCACAUGCCCCAGGAUCACAGGACACAGUAGAGGGAGGAGGCCCAAUGGGGUUUUGCUUUGCGCUCUCACCCUUACUAGGUUUCCUUCACAGUUACAAAGCGUUCUGGGUUUAGCGUCUGGCAAGACGUUGUCUUUAGGUCCUUUCUUUCCACAAUGCCCAGUCCGUGAGGGAAUUCUCUGUAGUGGCUGAGGGAGAGCUCAUGAAAAGACACUUCUGCAAGGGCUUUAGUCACAAAGGGAAGAAGAGAAACUAAUAGGAAGGAAAACCUAAUCCAGCUUCAGAGAGGGAGGUGACGGUGUGCCGCUAGUUCGGCAGUAGCCAUGAAUCUUAGCAGCCCAGUGGGUGCACCUGUCAGGCAAGAGGCUGCCUGAGCCUAAGAGCUGGGGUGGAGGCCUGCUAACAAGCUGAUAUGGAAGCUUCCACAGGCCCCAUCUUGAAACCUUCACAUAUGUAGUCUCUUUCCUCUUCUGUUGAGGUCCUUUGGGACUGAGAUUCCCUUGUGUUUUCCUUUUGCCAUGGCCUGCUGAUCACACCCUGUGGUUUGUGUGAAACUGGGGUUCCAUCACCCCAACACCCUGCCUUCCUCACAGUCCUCCAGGGAGCUUGUGGGCAAGUUCUGGUCACUGCCCCAGACCUACCAGAUCAGAAUCCAAGAACACUACUAGGGACUCCUUGUGUCAUAGGCUCCCAAGGGACUGCAGCAUAUCCAGGUACAGGACCCCCUCUGCUGGCCCCUAUCUCCAGCAUUCAUGGGCAGAACAGAAAGGCUUGGGGGAGAGAAACUGCUGAUCUGAGGUGGCCUCAGAACACUGCACACUCUUCCUUACUCACCCACUCUGACUAGAGAAAGCAAUUCAGACCAAAAUGUGACACCAAGGAUCCUGGAAAACAGGAACUUGGAUUCAUCAGAACUGAAAUGGAGUCACCAUCAGGUUGAGAUUCAUUAACAAGCCAUGUUUUUUAAGCCCAGUAAUCUGUUCUUUCAUUUACCUUAUAAGAGUCUUGAGUGGUCAUCAGCUGUCGACCUUUUGAAUCGCUCAAGCGGUGCCUACCCAGGUGUGAAGGCAUCGGCCUUCCUUGCCGACACUCUGUUUCAGAAAUGAUGACUCACAAUACUGUUACAAGCUUUCAUAAACAGCCUUCCCACGUGAUCCACACGCCUAUCCUGUGCAGGAAAUGGGGCCAUUGUCUCCGGUGUCAGAUGAGGAGAUUGGGCUCAAAGAACCUAUCUUAAUUGCCCAAACUCACUCAGCUAACAUUUGGAAGCUGAAACAAACCCAAUUCUCCAAAUGGCAGCUCUUCUUCCUACACGUAACUCUGAAAAGACCGUAAGUUGUCAUCUCUCUGAUUUCAAGGCUCAGCUAACAAAUUCACGAUGCUACAGGAACUAUUAAGUGCCAUGCAAAUAAACUUUACUUUGUUAUAAGCAAGCAUUGUCUCCAGUGUACAGUCAACAGACUACCAGUACUGUUAAAUUAUGAAACUGUGCCCAGGUGUCCAUAAUUCCACACUCCUGGUUUUUCUUCUUCCUUCUCUGUCCUCUUUCCUGGUUCUCCCUCUGCCACCCAGGCCCAGCUCUAAACACUGAUGUUGAAGCACUCAGGCCUGGGACUUCCUCCCUUUUCUCAUUAUCUCACCCAGGAUGAUGAGUUCCAACACCACCUACGCACAGAUAACACCCAGAAUUACACCUCCAGUUGUGAACAUUCCUCUGAGCUCCUAGAUUCAAGGUCCAAUGACACGGGAUACUUUAUGUAUGUCUUACAGACGUAACUGGUGAUCUCCAGCCCUCUCCCCCCAUUUCUGCCCUGGUCAACCUCAUCUCCAUACUCAGGCAAGAAACCGAAUCAAUAGCUUUCAUUUUUCUUUGCCCUCUCAUCAGGUUCUGUCGACUCUCCAGGAUAAUUCCAAAAUAAUCUUGAGUAGUAGUCCCCUGGGGCUGUCUCAGUCCAGGCCACCAUCAUCUCCUGUCUAGGGUUCCAACAGCUUCCUGUCUGGUCUUCUUGCCUCCCUUCUUAAUUCCCAACAAUCCAUUCUCCAUACUUCAGCCAGAGUGAUCUCCUUAAAACAUAGGUCAUACCAUUCCCCUGCUUAAAACCAUUCGGUGGCUUUUCUCUGUACUUGAAAUAGAAUCUAGCUUCUAUAACCCACGUCUUCCAAUUUCCCCCUACCUAUGGGCUCCAGCUUCACUGAGGGGCGUUUCCUCAAAAAUAUACCUUUUUAUCACUCUGGGGCUUUCACCAGUGCUGUUCUGUUCCUCAGCCUAGAAUGACUCCCCCUUUGGAGGGUGUGCUCCUUCAAGUCUCAGCUCACCCCAUCUCCUCAGGUCUUCACCCCAUCCCCAAUUGUCCUUCACCUCACUACCUGUUUGCCUCAUUGCACUUUAUCACAACAUGCCUUUUUGUUUUUACUUUUGGCUUUCUAACCCAAUUUUUGGCAUGCGGUAGGUUCUCAAUGAAUACUUAUUGGCCAAAUAAAUAAUUUACUUCUGAAGACUUGAAAUGCUUUUGCAAAAAUUUCUGUUCCUCCUUUCUCCCACCUCUGGCCCCCAGGAGCCAUCUUGCAGAGACCAGAACUCCAACUUUAAAGUUCUCUGCUCCUGCUGUCCUCAGUAAGACUCACAGCCCCACAAAGAGAUGGGCCCAUGUAGGAAAGUAUAGAGAAGCUCAAGAGAACACCAGCAUUUCAUCCUACCAUACAUCCCACAAUGGAUUCAUUUAAAUGUUGCAGACAGCGGCAUCUAUGAGUGGUGAUCCAAGCCUGGGGAUUCCAUGGAAAAGAGGAUGCAGGAGAUGGUAAGGAAAUACAGAUGCCCCAGAGAAGGGGCCUGCUAAUAAGCUAUGCAGACUCUUCUGUAACACAGCUCUCCCGGGCACUUUUCUGCAGCUAAAAAAUAAAUUUAUAUUUUACAAUUAUUUUUUAAGAAUGUGACUUAGGGGGCACCUGAAUGACUCAGUUGGUUAAGCGUCUGACUCUUGAUUUUGGCUCAGAUCAUGGUCUCACGGUUCAUGGGAUUGAGCCCUGUGUCAGGCUCUGUGCUGAAAGCCUGCAGGCUGCUUGGGAUUCUCUCUCUCCCUCUCUCUCUCUCUGCCACUCCCCUGCAUGUGUGAACUCUCUCUCUCUCUC